ACCUGUGAGGUGAUUGAGUGUACUGCUGGAUGAUGUAUUCCGUUGAGUAAAUGCAACCUUGAACUGAUCUCUGGCCUCCUCAAGUUAUUACAGACGUCUUUGGUCCUCGGAUGUUUCCAGUUAAUGUUCGAGCGCAUUCAAAAUAAUGACUGCAGGCGCUUGAUACACAGGUUUAGAUUUCUGAGAAACGCGCCUGGAUUGCAGCAGUGAAGCGAGAAGCAGAAUAGCAGAAGCUCUGGGAUAUACAGCGCACAUUUCCAUCCAGGAAAGCCAUCAUCUGUAAUGUCACUGAGUGCUACAGGGAGACAGGACAGUGCCAAACCACAUGUGACCAUAUGAAUGAACACCCAGAUGUGUUUGAG